AGGUCACAAUUGCAAUCUGCUGUCUCCAUGGUGACCUCUCUGAGCCGUGAGGUCAGAACUGAGGGUUAGUGCCAUCCUGUGACCGUAGCAAGCAUAGUGCCGAGAACAGCCUUGACUACUGUGCUUCUGGGGAGAAACCUUACCAGGGCCCAUGUUUGAGCACAGCUACUUUUCCUGACCAGGAUCUUUGCAACACCCAACAGGGAAAGGAAAUUCCUAAGCAAGGAACACCGCUCAGAAAGUGCUGUGCCAUGUCUCCAAAUCCCUGAGGAUCAAG